UUGGACCUGAUAUCAGGCAAGAUUACCCGCUGAACUUAAGCAUAUCAAUAAGCGGAGGAAAAGAAACUAACAAGGAUUC
rnacentral:rRNA from 1 species